UAAGUAAGUGGUGGAAAUUAAACCAAAUGGGAUAUCUUUAGUAAUUGCGAAUGAACAAGGAUAUGCUUAGCUUGACAAAUGGAGCUAUUGGCUUUGAAUUGUAUUUGUGGAAUGUAUUACCAACAGAGGUGCAGGUGCCAGCCUAUUAAAUAAAGCGUCAAUGAGGGUGAGAAUCCUGUUUGUCAUGUGCAGCCCUUUGUGCACGGUGUAUAUUUGCUGAGUCACACUCCUUGGCAUUGGAAUGCAAAGUGGGUGGUAAGUUUCAUGUACAGGUAAACAUGCAAUUGAGACUGAUAGCACACAAGUACCAUGAGGGAAAUAUGAAAAGGACUUUGAAAAGAGAAUUAAAUGAGUUUGUAUUUGCUGAACACAAAGUAAACAGACUUGAUUUGCUUGGUGGGAGUGUUGCACUUGCUUGACAAGAGCUUUGGGCUGUGGGUGUAAUGAUUCUUUCUUUGCAUGCCAGUUUCUAUGUGUACAUCUGAUUACCUUUGCACAUGAAUGAUAAGUCUCCUGUGGGGGGUGGAUUGCAUGUGCAUGUAAUGAUUUGUGUUUUGAUAAAUGUGUCUGGUGUAUGUGUGUGUGUCCCUGUGCUUGGGGAUGCUUCCUUCCUUGGACUUACAAGCCCUGACACACACAUGCUGGCAAAAUGCUUCUGCUUGACCCG
rnacentral:rRNA from 1 species